rnacentral:rRNA from 1 species
UGGGGAAUAUUGCACAAUGGGCGCAAGCCUGAUGCAGCCAUGCCGCGUGUGUGAAGAAGGCCUUCGGGUUGUAAAGCACUUUCAGCGGGGAGGAAGGCGGUGAGGUUAAUAACCUCACCGAUUGACGUUACCCGCAGAAGAAGCACCGGCUAACUCCGUUCCAGCAGCCGCGGUAAUACGGAGGGUGCAAGCGUUAAUCGGAAUUACUGGGCGUAAAGCGCACGCAGGCGGUCUGUCAAGUCGGAUGUGAAAUCCCCGGGCUCAACCUGGGAACUGCAUGCGAAACUGGCAGGCUAGAGUCUUGUAGAGGGGGGUAGAAUUCCAGGUGUAGCGGUGAAAUGCGUAGAGAUCUGGAGGAAUACCGGUGGCGAAGGCGGCCCCCUGGACAAAGACUGACGCUCAGGUGCGAAAGCGUGGGGAGCAAACAGG